AUGGUAUUCCCUCGUUUGAAAAUACUUGUCGAAGAAAUGGAAGCAUCUAGACAUAUCUUAGUUAUAGAUACAUUCAUUUUUAGCUAUUUCCUUGACAAGUAUUUUCGGACGGAGGGAGUAGAAU
rnacentral:pre_miRNA from 1 species